UCCGGCUUAUCACCGGCAGUCCCUUUAGAGUGCCCAACUGAAUGAUGGCAACUAAAGGCGAGGGUUGCGCUCGUUGCGGGACUUAACCCAACAUCUCACGACACGAGCUGACGACAGCCAUGCAGCACCUCGACUCACGUCCCUUGCGGGAAAGCCCCUGUUUCCAGAAGCCGUCGUAAGCCGUUCGAGCCCAGGUAAGGUUCUUCGCGUUGCGUCGAAUUAAGCCGCAUGCUCCGCCGCUUGUGCGGGGACCCGUCAAUUCCUUUGAGUUUUAGCCUUGCGGCCGUACUCCCCAGGCGGGGCACUUAAUGCGUUAGCUUCGGCACGGCAACCGUUGAUCGGGUCGCCACACCUAGUGCCCAACGUUUACAGCGUGGACUAC
rnacentral:misc_RNA from 1 species